rnacentral:rRNA from 1 species
AAUGAACGUUGGCGGCGUGGAUUAGGCAUGCAAGUCGAGCGAGAACCCCGCAAGGGGGGACAGCGGCAAACGGGGUAGUAACGGGUAGGUGACGUACACUCGGGUCGGGGAUAGCCACGGGAAACUGUGGGUAAUACCCGAUAAUCCCCUGAAGUGUGAAUGCUUUGGGAGCAAAGGUGUGAUUCCACCUGGGGAGCGGGCUGCUUCGUAUUAGCUAGUUGGUGAGGUAACGGCUCACCAAGGCGACGAUGCGUAGGGGGUGUGAGAGCAUGACCCCCACCACUGGGACUGAGAUACUGCCCAGACACCUACGGGUGGCUGCAGUCGAGAAUCUUCGGCAAUGGGCGCAAGCCUGACCGAGCGACGCCGCGUGUGGGAUGAAGGCCCUUGGGUUGUAAACCACUGUCAGAGGGGAUGAAGUGCCAGAGAGCAAUCUCUCUGGUUUGACAUAGCCUCAGAGGAAGCACGGGCUAAGUUCGUGCCAGCCGCCCGCGGUAAGAC